UCCAUCACAACCUCCUUCCUCCUUUCCCUGGGACCGAAAAAACAGCCUGAUUAAGAAAACCCCCUUUGAGAGAAAGAGAGAGGGAGGGAGCAAGAGAGAGGGAGGGAGGGGGAAGGGAGGAAGGAGGGUGAGAGAGGGAGGGAAGCAGAGAGAGCCCCUUUGGAUUUUUAAAAUAAAGGUCUAAUUAUCAUUCCCUUGCAGUAGUAUCACAGAGAGAAAGGAACCAAGACCCACAGUCACUUUAAACGGGCUGAUUAUUUUGUUUGGGUAUUAACUCCUCCGGAUUUGUUUGAGAUCCUGUUGGAAAAUCUCAUUUGCAUGCUUUGAUAACAGCUGAGGGCAAACUUGUUGGGGGGGGGGAGAAUGCACAUCUAUAACAAUCAAACCUUCUUCUGCUGCCCCGCCCCCGGCAACUUUUCCUGCAGAUUUGUUUUGGCGAAGAGCACAGGGAGAGACUGAGACAGAAAAGCAAAAGAGCAAGCCCAUUAAAGCUCGUUUGGCUCUGUAGAGACAGCCUAUUAAAUAAUGUAAUAAAAUAACAAGAGCGAUAAUAACUGGAGGCGCUCUACGUUCUAAAGGCAGCUUGGAGAGAUCCAGAAGUCUUCAGCUUCGAAUGGAUUCGAGACUUUCGCUGCCACCAGAAAUCUCCAGGCUUCGGACCGCAGAAAACUUACAUACUUAUUAAACAGAAGGAAAACCCGUCCUGGUCGUUCCCCUACCCUUCCAACGGGUGAAAUUUCUUAGGUGUGGCCGAGGUCGCUUUCCCAGGAGACGAAGGUUAGCACAGAGGCUGUCCAAAUUCGGAGCAGACAGGAGCACCCUGGCUGAGAGAGCUGGGGGAGCUGGGGGGUAGGCUCUGUGCUAAUCUGUGUCCAGCCGGGUGCGGUCCUGGAAGACAGAGUCCGAGGACGCCGGGGUCCAAGUCUAUGGACCAGGCUUGACAGAGGACAGAGAAGUGCUGGCGGUGUUUUCAUGACCUGUUGGAAUCUGGUAACAGCUUUAAUAGUCUCAUUAGGAAUGAGUUACUAUAUGGCCACCCCUUUAAAGAAUUCCUGUUUUCAGAUUCCUCCUCCCCCACCUCAGUGGGUGUAAAUCUGGAACCAGGGAAGAGAGUUGCCAAGAGACUAGACCAAGGUAAGAAGGACUUUUGGUUGACAGCCAUGUAGUCUUGGGUGGUCCUGCAUAGGCUUGGUAGUGGUUAUUGUCCAGCGUUUCCCUGGCACUAGAAGCUGGCACAUUGCCUCAUCUGGCUAGCAGUAGGUUUCCCACCUUAAGUAGCUUCCCCUCUGAGUUACAAGCCAGGAGUUGUGCUCUCUGGCAUCUUAAUUUGAUGACAUGAUAAUCACACAUGAAAAGUCACAGGUUCCUUGACACAUAAAGAACACAGUAUUACUCUCAUGAAAACAACAUGUCAGGGGUGGAACUGCUUCCCUGACUAUGACUGACAAUCUGGUACAUAUUCAUUAAUAGAGAAAUAGGGGUUGGGGGAGAAGUGCUAGCUGGAUUCUGCAGGGUGCCCAUAUUUUAAUAUUUCUAUGGAGCUUUUAUGCCAGACUCUUUUAUGCUCCUCUAAUCCUAGUUCCCUGUAACUCUAAGUGGCAUAUUAGGAAAAUCCCCCCUGUCUUGAGUGGAUGUUUCCUACUUACCCCCAACUCUGUCCAAUAUUCCCUUUGAAAGAUUUUAAAACUUUGCAGUAAUUAAAGAAAGUAAGACCAAAGACACA
rnacentral:lncRNA from 1 species